UCAUACCGGACUUCAUACCGGACUUCAUACCGGACUUCAUACCGGACUUCAUACCGGACUUCAUACCGGACUUCAUACCGGACUUCAUACCGGACUUCAUACUGCCCUGUUGUUGUGCUGACAGAGUUAGCUAACAAAAAAUGUUGUUGUGCUUGUUGACGUCAGUUUCAGAAAUAUUGAGGAAGUCUUAACCAGUUUUAAAUUUGUAAUCUGGCGACAUUUUGACCAGCAGGUUGAACAAAAUGGUGAUGGACAAGAUAUGAGUAAGUAUAAUUGCAGCUGUUGUGCGAAGGCCUCUGAGAUUUUAAAGAGCGUUAAUGAGAAAACAGCAUCAGUCACAACAAGGAGAAAACUUUUCCAAAGCAUCACUCGUUUCAUCGUCGACUGACUGACAGCGUGUCAGCGGCGUGUUAUUCCCUGUAAGCCCUGGCAUCUGCUGUACGGAGGGACAGGAGGACGUGGGUCCUCGUGUAGAUCUCCAUCAUCAGCCUUCGCCUCUCCUGCCUGCCAGGUGGCGCCUGUUCAGCUGGCGAUAUUCAUUUCAGAUCUCUGCAUUGUUUGUUCGGAGAAAUGAGAAAUAUGUAUCAGGCUCUGGAGAUGUCUCAUUCAUCAUUAGCUCCAUCUGUGCGAGCGCAUCUCCUCCGCAGACGGGUAGAUACGUCUGUGGCUGACUCCCUCAUCAGAAAGGGUCGCUCUGGAUGGGACAGAUAUUUGUUCUCCUGUAAUUGCACUCUGUCUCACUGGUGAUACACGCAUCAGAUAAUAAAGGGCGUAAAUCUCCUUAAAUGAGGGCCUUGCCUUUUUCAUGUCUUGUGCAAACUUAUUUGUUGCCAUUAAAGAGGACAGAUUAUUUUA